GCUGUUCCUAAUAUAAAACAAGGGCAGGCGGAGAUGGAGUGAACCCUAGUUUUCUUCUCUGCAUUAUACUUCCAGUUCGAGAGUUGGUACUUUCAAUUGCCAGUGUCUCUGUUGUUCUUAGCUGGUGAACUUGAGUGCUCCUUCCUGAAACUUUCGCUUCACAUUGCUGAAACGUUUCUGAAUCUCCAAAGUAAUGUCGUCGGACGAUGAAAGGGAGGAGGUGGAGUUGGAUCUCUCCUCUCCGGAUGUUGUUACAAACUACAAAAAUGUUGCCGAGAUCGUAAACGAGGCAAUGCAGCUGGCGAUAUCCGAAUGUAACUUAAUGUUAAAAUCGUUGACAUUUGCGAAGAAGGCGAUUUCUUUUCUCAGAGAGUAGGCUUUAAAAUUAGAUCUUCGAAAUUUAUCCAGCUUGAGCUAAUCGUGUUUUAGCAAGUUCUUUUUUUGUUUGAAUCUGAAGGAAAACUAGCAACAUGUAUAAGAAUGUUCAGAUGAAGAUAGAACGGGCGUUGCCUUUCCAACUUGCAUCUCUGAAACAAAACUGGCGGCCACUUUUCACCCCUAGUUAGCGAUGAAACAGUGAUGGAAGAAGGAAAUAUCCUCAAGAUAUAAUUGAAGCAACUAUAUUGCACUAGUUAUCAGGUAGCUUUGCCGUGGUGAUAUAGAACUUGGGGUUUGCCUCUUUUCCCUGUUGCUUAUUUGUGUAUGUCAAAUUUGAGAUAAAAUAUAAAUUGUCACGAAAAUCUAUUGUGAUCUUAUGAUAGUGGGUGAAGUUUCUAUGGUUAAACAAUCCAUUUCCCCAUAACUGGAUUAUGAAGGCAACUUUGCCGAGGUAAUUUGUGACUUGUGGGUUACCUCUUUUCCCUGUUGCCUGUAUUGUGUAUGGUUAAUUUGGAAUUCUGUAGGUUGACAUUUUAUGUAUGAUGCCUACGGGGUGUCAAUUGUCCAAAUUACAUACGAAAUAUAUUGCCAUGAUAAUCUCUUGUGAUGUCUUAAGAUAGUGGCUAGAGUUUAUAUUAUUAACAAAAAGAUAUGCUUUCCCUCAACUAGAUGAAGGCAACUUUGCCGAGGUAAUUUGUCACUUGUGGGUUACCUCUUUUCCCUGUUGCCUAGAUUGUGUAUGGUUAAUUUGGAACUUUGUAGGUUGACAUCUCAUGGAUGAUGCCUACGGUCCCAAUUGUCCAAAUUAUUAUACAAAAUAUAUUACCAUAAUAAUCUUUUAUGAUGUGUUAUGAUAGUGGCUAGAGUUUAUGUUGUUAAAAAAGAUAUGUUUUCCUCAAACUAGAUGAAGGCAACUUUGCCGAGGUGAUUUGUGACUUGUGGGUUACCUCUUUUCCCUGUUGCCUAGAUUGUGUAUGGUUAAUUUGGGAUUUUGUAGGUUGACAUUCCAUGGAUGAUGCCUAUGGUCUCAAUUGUCCAAAAUACAUACAAAACAUAUUGCCAUGAUAAUCUCUUGUGAUGUCUUAUCGUAGUGGCUAGAGUUUAUAUGCUUAACAAAAGAUAUGUUUUCCCUGUGCUAGAUGAAGGCAACUUUGCCGAGGUGAUUUGUGACUUGUGGGUUACCUCUUUUCCCUGUUGCCUAGAUUGUGUAUGGUUAAUUUGGGGUUUUGUAGGUUGACAUUUCAUGGAUGAUGCCUAUGGUCUCAAUUGUCCAAAAUACAUACAAAACAUAUUGCCAUGAUAAUCUCUUGUGAUGUCUUAUCGUAGUGGCUAGAGUUUAUAUGCUUAACAAAAGAUAUGUUUUCCCUGUGCUAGAUGAAGGCAACUUUGCCGAGGUGAUUUGUGACUUGUGGGUUACCUCUUUUCCCUGUUGCCUAGAUUGUGUAUGGUUAAUUUGGGAUUUUGGAGGUUGACAUUUCAUGGAUGAUGCCUAUGGUCUCAAUUGUCCAAAAUACAUACAAAACAUAUUGCCAUGAUAAUCUCUUGUGAUGUCUUAUAGUAGUGGCUAGAGUUUAUAUGAUUAACAAAGGAUAUGUUUUCCCUGAACUAGAUGAAGGCAACUUUGCCGAGGUAAUUUGUAACUUGUGGGUUACCUCUUUUCCCUGUUGCCUAGAUUGUGUAUGGUUAAUUUGGGAUUUUGUAGGUUGACAUUCCAUGGAUGAUGCCUAUGGUCUCAAUUGUCCAAAAUACAUACAAAACAUAUUGCCAUGAUAAUCUCUUGUGAUGUCUUAUCGUAGUGGCUAGAGUUUAUAUGCUUAACAAAAGAUAUGUUUUCCCUGAACUAGAUGAAGGCAACUUUGCCGAGGUAAUUUGUAACUUGUGGGUUACCUCUUUUCCCUGUUGCCUAGAUUGUGUAUGGUUAAUUUGGGAUUUUGUAGGUUGACAUUCCAUGGAUGAUGCCUAUGGUCUCAAUUGUCCAAAAUACAUACAAAACAUAUUGCCAUGAUAAUCUCUUGUGAUGUCUUAUCGUAGUGGCUAGAGUUUAUAUGCUUAACAAAAGAUAUGUUUUCCCUGAACUAGAUGAAGGCAACUUUGCCGAGGUAAUUUGUAACUUGUGGGUUACCUCUUUUCCCUGUUGCCUAGAUUGUGUAUGGUUAAUUUGGGGUUUUGUAGGUUGACAUUUCAUGGAUGAUGCCUAUGAUAUCAAUUGUCCAAAUUACAUACAAAAUAUAUUGCCAUGAUAGUCUCUUGUGAUGUCUUAUAGAGUUUUAUAUUAUUAACAAAUGAUGUGCUUUCCCAUAACCAAAUAAUGAAGGCAACUUUGCCGAGGUGAUCUGUGACUUGUGGAUUACCUCUUUUCCCUGUUGCCUAUAGUGUGAAUGGUCAAAUUUGGUAUAUCAUAGGCUGAUUUCCAUGGAUGAUGCCUAUGUCCCAAUUGUCCAAAUUGUUGUAAGAUAUACAUUCUGAUGAUAUUCUCCUGUGAUGUCUUAUACUAAUGUGUAGAAUUUCUAUUAUUAAUCAAUAAUCUGUUUCCCCAUAACUUGGAAUCACAUUUAGUAUAAUUUGAAGCCUUUAGACUCACAGUUAUGCUGUUGGAGUUUUGGUUAGUGCUUAAAAUAUCGUUAUGUUGUGUAAAUAUUUGUUUAGUGCUCUUAUUCCUUCAAUUUUGUGGCAAAUAGUGGCUGUCUCUUAUGUUUUCUAUAUCUGCUUGUUUGACCAAGAGCCCUACAUGAUGAUUACUUUAUGGAAGCUAUGGAAUGUAUUCCAAAUGAGGCUUUUGUCAUAGUUACUCUGAUAGGGCAUGCUACUUUUUCAGGCAAUCUAUUGUUUUUUAACCAUCUUUAUUGACAUCAUAAGUUGCUAUCAUAUCUUGUGUAAUGUUAUUGGUCUUGGUUAAUACGUAGUUGAAUGUUUUGUGAUUUAUAAAUGCCUGCUUUCUUGUGGAGUUUUCGUUUUUUCCAUUGAAUACGAGACGGGUUUCUAUUGGUUAAUUGAAUCCUCUUUGGGGCUAGUUGAAUGUGUUAAUCACGAUCUACUGCAAACCUAUCCUGUCCUCUGAAAAUUCUGGUAGCAUUUUUUUGCUCUUUGAAAUUAAUUUUAAUUUUGUUUCAAGUGUAAUUUGUAUGGUUCAUUUGCUCCUCGUGCAAUUGGUUACUUUGCAGGCGAUCACAUUGCCCACAUUAAAUAUACAGUCUUACUAAUGCCUAAUGGAUCUGAUCGAAUUACCUCUCAUGCAAUGCAAGAUGUUUGGCCCACAAAAAGCUGUUGAUGAUCCGGAAAUUAAGACCUGGUCAGCCCACAAAAACUGUCGACUCCAUUGUUAGCAUGCAUGAUGAUUAGAUUAUUGAACCAAGUUUUCUUAACAACUUGGCUGGGGUAAUAAAGGAUUCAACAUCGCAGGAAUGAAUUACUCCUUUUUAUCUGCUUCCUCCUUUCCAUCCUUUCCAUUAUGCCACUGUUUUCUUUUGAUUGUAUGUUUAACAGAGAACUUCAUUCUGUUUCGUU